rnacentral:rRNA from 1 species
UACGUAGGGCGCAAGCGUUGUCCGGAAUUAUUGGGCGUAAAGAGCUCGUAGGCGGUCUGUCACGUCGGAUGUGAAAGCCCGGGGCUUAACCCCGGGUCUGCAUUCGAUACGGGCAGACUAGAGUGUGGUAGGGGAGAUCGGAAUUCCUGGUGUAGCGGUGAAAUGCGCAGAUAUCAGGAGGAACACCGGUGGCGAAGGCGGUUCUCUGGGCAUUACCUGACGCUGAGGAGCGAAAGCGUGGGGAGCAAACAGG